rnacentral:rRNA from 1 species
UACGGGGGGGGUAAGCGUUGUUCGGAAUUACUGGGCGUAAAGGGCUCGUAGGCGGCCAACUAAGUCAGACGUGAAAUCCCUCAGCUUAACUGGGGAACUGCGUCUGAUACUGGAUGGCUUGGAUUCGGGAGAGGAAUGCGGAAUUCCAGGUGUAGCGGUGAAAUGCGUAGAUAUGUGGAGGAACACCGAUGGCGAAGGCAGCCCCCUGGGUUAACACUGACGCUCAUGCACGAAAGCGUGGGGAGCAAACAGG